AUGUCGUCGAAGCGCCACUCCGACGUGCUGGGCGUCGGCCGGAAGGCCAAGCGUCAGCGCCAGCGCCGCCACCUUUACUUCGUGGUCGACGACGGGGACGGGUACGCCAUCCGAAAGAUGGACCUGUCAUCGGAAUACGAGUCCGACGACGACGCGGCGCGGCACGAGGACGGGGAGAUCGAGACGGUGGGCGCCGCGUGGUCGCCCCUGCCGGAGGCCCUCAUCCGCCUGCCUGCUCAGACGGGCGAGUUCUUCGUCGCCAGCGGCACCAAGAUCCUGGUCACGGACUGCGGCUGGCCGGAGCACGCCGUCCCCGUCUUUGACGUGCACUCGCGGAGCCUCACCCUCGGCCCUCGCCCCCACAGCCGGACGUGCCCGCACACCCCGAUCUACAUGCCGGUCGGCCGCAACGUGGUCUCCGUGGACGCCGGCUUCGCGUGGUCGUGGGACAAGCUGGCCGACAAGCCGCCGUUCCGGCGCGUCGACGUCACCUGCCACGCGGCGCACCCCGACGGCCGGACGCUCUUCGUCAGCACCGUCAACAAAGGCGCCCCCGCUACCUUCACCCUCGACACCGGCGCCGAGGACGGCGUCGCCGUGUGGAAGCAGCGCGGCAGGUGGAAGCUGCCGUUCAAAGGCCAGGCCCUCUUUGACCCCGCGCUCGAUGCCUGGGUCGGCCUCUCCGGGGACAAGGACACCCUCGGCCACCUCUGCUCCUCGGACGUGCCGCCCGUCGAAGCCGACGAUGCUGGCAGUGAGAUGGCGCCCCUGUGGCGGCUCAGCAAGGAGAAGAUGUUGUGCGGGGACCCCGGCGAGGAGCACCUUGGUGCAGACCUCGUCUACAUGGGAGGCAGGAGCAAGUUCUGCAUCCUGCAGUGCUUCUCUAUUGUGUAUGGUGAAAAGGACGACGACCACGACGACGAGGGCGACCCUUACCAGGAAGAUGACGUCGACGUCGACGAGAGCGACCGUUACAAGGAGAAGGUGAAUGAGGAGAACCUACCUCGUCGCCAUCUGCUCCAGCUCAUAACAUUCACCCUCAAGGAUGACAAGAAUGGACAACUGACUACUGCCAAGCGCCGCCGGGUUCGAUGCUUCGAGUUGCUGCGUCACGCUGAUCCGCUCUUUGAUGAUAUCCGAGCCUUCUGGAUAUAA
rnacentral:rRNA from 1 species